rnacentral:rRNA from 1 species
GACGGAGGAUGCAAGUGUUAUCCGGAAUCACUGGGCGUAAAGCGUCUGUAGGUGGUUUAAAAAGUCCACUGUUAAAGAUUGAAGCUUAACUUCAAAAAUGACCGUGGAAACUUUUAAACUUGAGUAUGAUAGGGGUAGAGGGAAUUUCCAGUGGAGCGGUGAAAUGCGUAGAUAUUGGAAAGACCACCAAUGGCGAAGGCACUCUACUGGGCCAUUACUGACACUGAGAGACGAAAGCUAGGGGAGCAAAUGGG